GCACUGAUGACGAGUCCCACACAGGACGAGACGGUUGUCUAGUGC
rnacentral:hammerhead_ribozyme from 1 species